ACGGGAGGCAGCAGUGGGGAAUAUUGCACAAUGGAGGAAACUCUGAUGCAGCGACGCCGCGUGAAGGAUGAAGUAUUUCGGUAUGUAAACUUCUAUCAGCAGGGAAGAAAAUGACGGUACCUGACUAAGAAGCCCCGGCUAACUACGUGCCAGCAGCCGCGGUAAUACGUAGGGGGCAAGCGUUAUCCGGAUUUACUAGGUGUAAAGGGAGCGUAGACGGCACGGCAAGCCAGAUGUGAAAGCCCGGGGCUCAACCCCGGGACUGCAUUUGGAACUGCUGAGCUAGAGUGUCGGAGAGGCAAGUGGAAUUCCUAGUGUAGCGGUGAAAUGCGUAGAUAUUAGGAGGAACACCAGUGGCGAAGGCGGCUUGCUGGACGAUGACUGACGUUGAGGCUCGAAAGCGUGGGGAGCAAACAGGAUUAGAUACCCUGGUAGUCCACGCCGUAAACGAUGACUGCUAGGUGUCGGGUGGCAAAGCCAUUCGGUGCC
rnacentral:rRNA from 1 species